rnacentral:lncRNA from 1 species
UGAGGAAGAAGUACAAGAACAAGAAUUUUUCAAUCAAGAGAUACACUACCGCAGAUUGCUUUUUCAAAGUGUACUAUAUGUCGAGUAUCCGAGUGAGGGAUUAGACAUUCCAUCUUUGAAAAUUGAUGCCCAAUACCAUCGUCUGAGAUAUGCUUGUCUUUUGUGCAAGUACGGGUCUGAAAAAAUGGAGAAUGAAUACUUUAGUGAGAAUGAUGAUCCAUCAAGGCCAAGGAUCAAGUUCACACCAAAAGAAACAGGUCGUGGUUUGAGUAUUCAGUAGUUGUUUAUUUGUUGA